rnacentral:rRNA from 1 species
AGAGUUUGAUCCUGGCUCAGGACGAACGCUGGCGGCGUGCUUAACACAUGCAAGUCACGGGGGCUCGCAAGGGCAACCGGCGAACGGGUGCGUAACACGUGAGCAAUCUGCCGAUUUGAGGGGGAUAGCCGGCCCAACGGCCGGGUAAUACCGCAUACGCUCUUUGAGUGGAGUCACUUGAAGAGGAAACCUCCGGGGCAAAUCGAGGAGCUCGCGGCCUAUCAGCUAGUUGGCGGGGUCAAGGCCCACCAAGGCGACGACGGGUAGCUGGUCUGAGAGGAUGGCCAGCCACAUUGGGACUGAGAGACGGCCCAGACUCCUACGGGAGGCAGCAGUGGGGAAUCUUGCGCAAUGGCCGAAAGGCUGACGCAGCGACGCCGCGUGUGGGAUGACGCCUUUCGGGGUGUAAACCACUGUUGCCCGGGACGAACGAGAUCUUUCGAGAUCUGUGACGGUACCGGGUGAGGAAGCACCGGCUAACUCCGUGCCAGCAGCCGCGGUAAUACGGAGGGUGCGAGCGUUGUCCGGAAUCACUGGGCGUAAAGGGCGCGUAGGCGGCUUGGGAAGUCCGUGGUGAAAGCUCGUGGCUCAACUACGAGUCGGCCAUGGAUACUCCUAAGCUCGAGUCGACUAGAGGCUAAUGGAAUUCCGGGUGUAGCGGUGGAAUGCAGAGAUCCGGAAGAACACCGGUGGCGAAGGCGGUUAGCUGGGGUCGAACUGACGCUGAGGCGCGACAGCGUGGGGAGCAAACAGGAUUAGAUACCCCCGUAGUCC